AGUGAACGCUGGCGGUAGGCCUAACACAUGCAAGUCGAACGGCAGCACAGUAAGAGCUUGCUCUUACGGGUGGCGAGUGGCGGACGGGUGAGGAAUACAUCGGAAUCUACUUUUUCGUGGGGGAUAACGUAGGGAAACUUACGCUAAUACCGCAUACGACCUACGGUUGAAAGCAGGGGAUCUUCGGACCUUGCGCGAUUGAAUGAGCCGAUGUCGGAUUAGCUAGUUGGCGGGGUAAAGGCCCACCAAGGCGGCGAUCCGUAGCUGGUCUGAGAGGAUGAUCAGCCACACUGGAACUGAGACACGGUCCAGACUCCUACGGGAGGCAGCAGUGGGGAAUAUUGGACAAUGGGCGCAAGCCUGAUCCAGCCAUACCGCGUGGGUGAAGAAGGCCUUCGGGUUGUAAAGCCCUUUUGUUGGGAAAGAAAAGCAGCAGGUUAAUACCCCGCUGUUCUGACGGUACCCAAAGAAUAAGCACCGGCUAACUUCGUG
rnacentral:rRNA from 1 species